rnacentral:rRNA from 1 species
CCUACGGGAGGCAGCAGUGAGGAAUAUUGGGCAAUGGGGGGAACCCUGACCCAGCAACGCCGCGUGGAGGAAGAAGGCUUUUGGGUCGUAAACUCCUUUUGAUGGGGAAGAGGAAGGACGGUACCCGUCGAAUAAGUCACGGCUAACUACGUGCCAGCAGCCGCGGUAAUACGUAGGUGACAAGCGUUAUCCGGAUUUACUGGGCGUAAAGGGCAUGCAGGCGGCUUGACAAGUCUGACGUGAAAUUUCCCGGCUUAACUGGGAGGGGUCGUUGGAAACUGUUGAGCUUGAGGCGACGAGAGGGGUGUAGAAUUCCCGGUGUAGUGGUGGAAUGCGUAGAUAUCGGGAGGAAUACCAGUGGCGAAGGCGGCACCCUGGCGUUGGCCUGACGCUCAUGUGCGAAAGCGUGGGGAGCGAACGGGAUUAGAUACCCCGGUAGUCCACGCUGUAAACGAUGAGUACUAGGUGUUGGGCGAGUGAAAUCACUCUGUGCCGAAGCAAACGCGCUAAGUACUCCGCCUGGGGAGUACGG